ACGCUGGCGGCGUGCCAAUACAUGCAAGUCGAGCGAACAGAGAAGGAGCUUGCUCCUUCGACGUUAGCGGCGGACGGGUGAGUAACACGUGGGCAACCUACCUUAUAGUUUGGGAUAACUCCGGGAAACCGGGGCUAAUACCGAAUAAUCUGUUUCACCUCAUGGUGAAACAUUGAAAGACGGUUUCGGCUGUCGCUAUAGGAUGGGGCCCGCGGCGCAUUAGCUAGUUGGUGAGGUAACGGCUCACCAAGGCGACGAUGCGUAGCCGACCUAAGAGGGUGAUCGGCCACACUGGGACUGAGACACGGCCCAGACUCCUACGGGAGGCAGCAGUAGGGAAUCUUCCACAAUGGGCGAAAGCCUGAUGGAGCAACGCCGCGUGAGUGAAGAAGGAUUUCGGUUCGUAAAACUCUGUUGUAAGGGAAGAACAAAUACAGUAGUAACUGGCUGUACCUUGACGGUACCUUAUUAGAAAGCCACGGCUAACUACGUG
rnacentral:rRNA from 1 species